rnacentral:rRNA from 1 species
GUGCCAGCAGCCGCGGUAAUACGGAGGAUGCGAGCGUUAUCCGGAUUCAUUGGGUUUAAAGGGUGCGCGGGCGGCGCUCCAAGUCAGCGGUCAAAUCCGCGGGCUCAACCCGCGGCCGCCGUUGAUACUGGAGUGCUUGAGUAGGUGCGACGGAUGCGGAAUGCGUGGUGUAGCGGUGAAAUGCAUAGAUAUCACGCAGAACCCCGAUUGCGAAGGCAGCGUCCGAGCACCCGACUGACGCUGAGGCACGAAAGCGUGGGUAUCGAACAGGAUUAGAUACCCUGGUAGUCCACGCGGUAAACGAUGAAUACUGGUUAUCCGUGCCGUAUAAGGUAUGGGUGACUCAAGCGAAAGCAUUAAGUAUUCCACCUGGGGAGUACGCCGGCAACGGUGAAACUCAAAGGAAUUGACGGGGGCCCGCACAAGCGGAGGAACAUGUGGUUUAAUUCGAUGAUACGCGAGGAACCUUACCCGGGCUCAAACGCAGAGAGACGUUGUCGGAAACGGCAAUUCCCUUCGGGGCUGUCUGCGAGGUGCUGCAUGGUUGUCGUCAGCUCGUGCCGUGAGGUGUCGGCUUAAGUGCCAUAACGAGCGCAACCCCCAUCUCCAGUUGCCACCGCGUUUAUGGCGGGCACUCUGGAGAGACUGCCGGCGCAAGCUGUGAGGAAGGCGGGGAUGACGUCAAAUCAGCACGGCCCUUACGUCCGGGGCGACACACGUGUUACAAUGGCGGGGUACAGAAGGAAGCCAGGCGGCGACGCCGAGCCGAUCCCGAAAACCCGUCUCAGUUCGGAUCGGAGUCUGCAACCCGACUCCGUGAAGCUGGAUUCGCUAGUAAUCGCGCAUCAGCCAUGGCGCGGUGAAUACGUUCCCGGGCCUUGUACACACCGCCCGU